AUGAUGAGGACAUCAAUACCAUUGUUACACCCACAGCCUGAUGAGGACAUCAAUACAAUUGUUACACCCACAGCCCCUGCUGCUAUACAUACUGGACCAAUUACUAGAGCUCGUGCACGCCAACUAAAUUACCAGGUACUUUUGUUUCUUGGUAAUGAUUUUAAUGUUCAUGAGAAUAUGAUGCUGCCUAAAUUGGAUACAUUUGUUUUGCUUACAAAUGAAGGGCCUAGCUUGGAGAAGGAUGAACAUUGGAGCAAGAACAAGCAUGGAGAUGAUGGCAUGUGCAAGGGGAACAAGAACGGAGUUACAAGUGAUGAUUUCAGGACUUUGAAGCCACCAUAA
rnacentral:rRNA from 1 species